UACAAGCAGGAAGUAGCAAGACAAUAGUCAUUCAAACAAAGCAAACCCACAAGCACUUGAGCAGAGAGACAAACAAUAGGACCGCCUGGCACUCCAGUCAACAAUCAGGCCAUUCAUUCUCAGCUCAGAGCUAUGCUAUGACUCAAUCCUUCAUUAUUGACAAUAGGCGCUCAAGAAAAUAAAUACAGAAUGCUGUUGACUCUCACCAAAGGGGCUUGAAUGCGGUAUAUAAGAGUUAUCACUCUUUGGACCAAAGCCAGUUUAUUGGACGGGAGACAAUGCAGGGAUGACAGGGAUUUUUCUUGCUUGAGGACAGUCUCAUUCACACACCAACUUGAGACUGUAUCGGAAGUUAACUUUAUCCGAAAAAGAAACUGAUCAAAGUAGUCAGAAAAAUCAUUUCCGUCAAGACUCCAUCCUCAUUACUGACAUCUCCCUUCAUUAAAUGGUGAUUUUUCAAAACAGACUCUUCAAGAUAGAACAGAAAGAUAGAAAAAUACUUGAAAGAUAAGGCCCCCUGAAGCAAAACUUUAAACCAGCCAACACAGAGGACCUCAGCCCUGUUGCGUAACAAUCCCCAUAUAUCAAUCCAUCCAGUGAGUACCUCAGAACUCCUUUGCCCUUCUAACCUCAUUGAUUUCUACUAAUAUUUACCUCUGGGCAGCUUUAGUUCGGUUGGCACAAACUUGUAGUGACUGAGGUAAGCUGAAGACUCAAAUUCAAAGAAAACAUCCUAAUGUAAAUACCCAUAAGCAAGAAGGGUAGAUACAGGCCAACCUUUUGUACAUAAUUCAUUAUGUUAAAUCUUGUGGCUGAUUAAGCCUGAAAGGAAUUCUGAGUAUGUCUUCCUCAGUUCCAAACAUUUAUGUACAAAUGUACUGUACAAUCAUUGCCAUUACUUACAGUUCUGAUCCUGUCAUCCGGCUACAAACUAAUCAACAUGGAUUAAAUAUAAUUAGUUCCGUUGCUAGGGAAAUCUACAGUUUUAAUGCCAAUUUUACAGGUUUCAAACCUUAAUGUAUAAUCUACAUCUACACACGAUGUACAUGUGUAUAAUCCCAGACAAAACAUUUGUUGCAGGCUUGCAAAUUCCAAAGAGAGCACUAACAAGCCCCCCCUAAUUCAAUGUCUCAGCAACAUUUUUCAAAUCUUUGUGGAAGCAUGGAGGUAGGAAUUGUGAAAGUCAUUUUCAGCUGUGGCAUGAACUUUGACACUUGAAUUUCAGUAAGGACUUUGUAAGAUCAUCUGUAUUCUCUGAUUACAUGAUGUACCAAAAUGCAGGAUACUUCAAACGUGAGGAUUUCUUUUUAGAAACACUUUUCAUUUGUUUUUCAUGAACACUACACAGCAUGCACAUGGCAAAUGUUUACACUCAUAAAAACCUGGCCAAGGACUCUGCUUUGCCAUUCCCGAGGGUGUUCGCUGGUCACAACAAAGCUGUAAAUAGUUCUCAGCUUAUUGAAGUCUAUUGAUUGGUCUGGCUUGAUCUGACUGGCUGAGUGUGGUUGGAAUGCUGUUAGCAAGUAAUUGAAGAGAAUUAAUAAUUCAGUGGAGAGGAAAUCCUGUGCUGCACAGAGGUAAAGCAGAGCAAGAUUAGCCCUGGAUUAUAGCAAUGCCACCUCACACUAAGCCAAAGAUACAAGAGGGGUAUACAUGUAUGUGAAGAAAUCAGAAUACUGAGAGCUAUAAGGGAAUCUGUAGGUUAACAACAGAACGCUGAAUGUAUGGGGAAAAGAAGGGAACCGUCUAACAAAAAGGUUACUACAUGGACACAUGAACGUGAGCUUCAUUGACAUAACACUGUAGACAGAUACUUCCACAGACAGAAUGAGUACCACUGCUGUGGUGAAUACAUUAUAUGCACAUAUGUUCCAAACAAAGCAUCCCCCCUAGGCUUAAGCUCCUGUAAAUGACAUUAACAAUAUGCUUGUAGCAUCUGUGGAUAACUAAAUUUAGCAGAAAUGCAUACCUUUCUACUGAGCACAGAUAUUCACACUCCUACAUUGUAAGUUUCUUUCCAUAGCCGCAUUCCUCUUCUCUAAAAUUGACACUGAUUUGGCUUUUCUGCAGAUGUGUUCACAUUGGGCAAUAUUUCACUUCUUCAAUCUUGUGUCAAUGAAGUUACCCUUUAACUUUUACAAGUAAGAGCAUGGCUUUCCUCACUCUUCAGGCAUUUUAGACAGGGGGAAAGGUGUGGUUAGAAAAGCAACCAUGCCAACCACAGGUAGACCCCCAAAAAUGACCCAAGGUGUAAUGAGAUUGAAGUGUCAUGGGUCACUCUGGGUCAGCAUCAAGUUGUGGGCACCCAACAAAACCACGCUGUUAAUGUUCUGGGUUGGUUCUGAGAUCAAGUUUUGAGACCAAAUAAUCUCUGAUGAGAGCAUGGCAGGUGAACGGGUUUGAAUGGGCAGGUGUAUUUCAAGGUCCCAAUUUAUAAUGUUAUUGCUGGCCUUAUCCAGGUCAGUGACAGCUGUCAUUCAGGUAUUACAGGUUGUGGAACAUUUCAAGCUCCAUGCCCAUCUCAAGGUGAUAGAUGUACAUGUAUCAUGUGUCCUAAUCUCUUCCCAAAGCAAUGAGAGUGGUGAACCAUAGUAGAUGUACUGGUACUGUAAGAAGUGACAAAUCAAAGACAAUAUUAUGUAUGUUGGUAAUAUCAUAAAGGCUUACGAUAAACAAAAAUGAGUUCAUGCAGACAGUGUCGACGUUUUCUUCAAGCACACAUUAACCCAAAUUGAUGGGGGUCGAUAAACACAAGUGUAGAAUACUUGAAGACCAGGCAUGAAUCCUAAACUUCAUGACCACCCUGAAGGAAUGUAUCUUUCCAUGAACUCCUGUCUUGUGCAAAUGUUUGGAUGCAAUGCAAUGGUGAUUCACUUCUGUUCCUUCCAGCAUCUACUCGCUAAUGUUUACACAACGUGUGGGCAAACUGUUGACUUCAUAUUUACAGGGUGGGGAACUUUUCAUACUGGGAGAAAGAGGGUUAUUGUCCUAUUGGCUGGUGUACUGAUUUCUUUUAAAGAACCACAGGAAACAUGUACACAUACUAAAGGAAAGACUUUUUAGUGGACACUUCAGACUUGUUUUUCCCAGCCAAAAAGUAGUUUAACCAUACUUUGGUCUGGGAAGAGUUGACCGAACAAAUUGUCCAUACAUGUACUUACAUUUAUUUGUUUAGAUAGAAAUCUUGAAAAAAAACCAUUUUUUACAGAAUAUCUUGAACAAACUCAUGUAAUGACUUUGUGAUAACACAUGUAGAAAAAGACAGGAAAGCAACAGGGAAAAAUCUGGGUGUAACAUCUCCAGAGUGGUCAGCGAUUACCCCCUCAAUCAGAAUUUAAAAAGCUGAAUCCUAUCUCUCAGUAUGAUACACUCUGCUUGCUGUAACUCAGCAGACAGCAGGAACCUCAACAUGCUGCAUGAUUUCAAAGACUGACCACCUCAAGAGAUCUACUUGUUGAUGUUCGUUGUUAUUCUUCAAUUCUAUCACCAUUCUGUUCUGACAAUAGGACAAAAAAGACAAGCAGUAAGCAGGCUUUCAUGUAACCCAGUCUCCAAUGCUCUUUUUGCACUUUGAACACAGUCCUUAUGUACAUGUAAACUACAGCUCCUACAUUUUGGGGUAAUUCACUUGCACUCAGUGCUGGUACAAAUGUUCCUCUGCGGAAUCCUCACUGUUCUCUUGGUAGAGACACUUUUGAUGCUGACAGAAAUGUCACUUUUAGGCAAACAUAUUUAUGCAUGAGGGUACAUACAUGUACAUGUAUACACACGUACAUUUACAUAUCCAUCAAAGCAGGAUGUCUUUCAACAAGUUAUUAAUGUCCACAUUUUUUUUGAUUGUGGAACCCGAAGAAGAAUUUCUCUGUAAAGCCCUACAGGUAUUUUUACCAAGUUCUAACUUUCACAUAGAACUUGAUAUUUAAUAGUUUAAAUUAAAAAAAUUCUAGCCAGCUUCACAGCUCUCCUGAAACACACACAAUCACACACAAUUUACUUGUCAGAUCUCAACUUGUCAGAUGCUGUAAGGAGCCACUGCAUCUUGACUAUCCAAACAUCUUUAUUAGAACAAAUCUUCUUUAGUAUACAAGUGAAAAGAAGGGGGGUCAGCACAGUUGCCAGGGCAACAGGGAUGGAAGUGGUCCCUUUAUGCUUUGAGAUCAGGGUGCCACCUCAGUGCCACUUGACAAGUUGAAUAUCGACAUGCUCCCAUUGUUUGCCACUUAUCAGAGACAGAUGUCUCCGAUUACUUAUGUUUGUCCCAACAAUGUCAGCAUACCAUUAAAUUUGGAACAACACAAUGAAAGGAUAUUUCAAAAAGUCACUGAUAAUGACAGGAAAUACAAUACAGAUAGGUUUAGAGUCAAUAUCAUGUCUAAUUAUCUGCAGUAUGUUCGAGGAAGAUACAUCUUGGAACAAAUUUGGAUUUGUUUGAGGCAAUUUUAAAAACUGGGUGGCAGAAGGGGGCGGGACAAACAUAUUUUCUUUGAGGGAAGGGACAUCUCUAUAGCUUCACACUGCACAAGCUGUGAAAUGAUAAAAAAAAACACCUUCACUAAAGAUUAAGUUUCAAACAAAAUAAACACAUCUGAAAAAGCUGAAUCCAUACAUCUGCGAAAACACUAACAAACAAAGGCCAACUGAAAUUGUAUAGGCCUAUGUGUGCAACAGUUGCCAGAAAUUUCCUCAAAACAAAGAGGCUAACCACAGCAAACUCUGACCUAACCUUCCCUACAUCACCCCUAUCAAACAAGCUUCAGCUCCCACACAAAUCCACAUCCAUCUUCACCUCAAUAUUUUAUGGAUCUUGUUCACCUCUAUGAGUGGCCAUGAACUUGGCCCGGCUAUUUGGCAAGUCAGUGGUACCCAAUCAAAAUAAACAGGAAAAGUAUGUAGGAAUGUCGUAUUCCUUAAGAUUCUGCUGUAAACAAGAAAGGCCUGAUCUUACUUUAUGACACCUUAAGACAUAUGGUACAUGUACAUUUCACAUCUUUGAAAAGAAUUUACACUGGAAAGGUUGGAUAACAUGGUGUAAUUAUGAAAAAUUAAUAAACAUCAACUACUUGUUGCCACAAAUUAUGUUCAUAUCAAAUGAGGACUGCCAUGCAUUUGAAUUUUAGCAGAAUCUUUCUCAAUUGCAUCAUUGAGGUUUCAUUGUCACAAAUGACAUACUUUUAUUGAGCUUUCAGACACUAUCUGCAUCUGUGAAUUUGCUUUUAUUUACACCGACCUAAAUCUUGUAGUUUUCUUCCCCUGAAUGGCAAUGGUGCUCCCAAAUUAAGCCAGUGAAAAAUAUCCAACCAAACUACAUUGUGUUAUUUUUAUGAUAAUCUCCUCCUUACACAGACAGUUUUUGUGUAUCAUUUUAGCAUAGGCAAGAAAACCCUGUGUGUGUUUCCACUGUAUCCUGUCCCCCCCGUCUUUCUGUAAAAGACACACUGUACCUCUAUACAUCCCAACCAAGCAUGUGUACAUGUACUCUGGGUAGGAUUUACAUGUAAUUCGCUAUGGUAACUUGGUUAUUUUCAGAAACAAAUUUAAGUCCUUUUGGAUGAUAGCAAAAUAAAGUUCAGCAAUAGAAAAUUCCACAGAUUAACAAUUUGCAUUUUUAUGUCUAUACAACUUCUGAAAUGACAGUAAAUGAAACAGACAACCACACAAUAUAACAACUGAACCUACACUGAGGAAUUUUAAUGAGUGUCGAACAAGUUUUCUUUUAUUCAUCCACGAGAACCAUUUGGCACUUUUUACCACCAUUCUGUUGCCGAUAAAAAGGUCAUGCAUCAUGAGCAAUGCAUGGUUAUUGCCCAUCCAGGUGUGCCCCACUUCAUAACAACUUUUAAACAGGUACAUUGCACUUUUGUAGUGUGAUACUUUUUUCUUGUUUGGUGUGAAAAAUUCUUAAAAGGUUAGCGAGUUGAAAUGGCAGAUUUCGGGAUUAGAAGGGUCAACCACCAUUAAGUGUCAAUGAUUGAGGGUUUUUAUUGGAAAGAUUAGUUUCAUGCCUACAUGUACAUUGGCGGUGUCUUGAAAACAACAUCAAAAACACCUUUGGUGUUGAUGGUAAUGACACUGCUUUAAACAUGCAGACUGAAUUUACAUGCAGAUGUGUUCAUUCUUUUCAAGGAAAGCUAUGCAAACACUGUGUUUUAUAUUUUGUGGUCAGAGUCUUAUCCCCAUCUCCCAUCCACCUGAGCAUGGCAAGCACUGUGGAAUAUCUCCCUUAAAACUAGAAAUAAAUAUGUGUCUGCCUCUUGCCAUCAAUUUUCCUGCAUUUACGGGGUAACUUUGACAAUUUUGCUCCAAUGACUACUUCACAAAGGUGUCAGCUGGACCCAAUCUGUUAAGCUCAUGGAUUAGAUGCUGUGAAGAAUUCAGCACUACAACAUUGUCCCAUCUCUGUAGGAAGCAGUGGUGCACAGGGCUUAACAUCUUGGGGUAAAUCAAAGCAACCUCCAGGCACCUUGCUAUAUAAUAAAGAUUCCUUGCUAGUGCUCACCCAAAAGUAACUAAAGGAUUGUAACACCUCCCUACAAAUUAAGAUGGUUUGCCGAGGUUAUUCUUCAAUUUAGCUUCUUUGGAAGCCCCAUCAGUUCCACUGCUCUAAAACUAUACUCUAAAUUCGCUGGCACGAAACCUUGGGUAACUCAAUGGCUGAACAGGAUCAGCUGAACUCGUAGAAAUUAUAAGUAAACUUUUGCCGUCUGGUUUUAGCACUCCUUUUCUUCGUUAGUUUGAAUGGAAAAUUUUAAGCCUGCCCAGUGGGUACAGUUUUUCAGGUUCUUUUGUUACUCAAUAUUGUACACUGCAGGUCUCGAG